GGAUUUAUUUUAUUCCUUAUAGGGGCUUUCACAGCUUGAUGGCUGUUGGAUAUUUAUGUCCCCAAACUUGCAGCAAGUUUGGUGAAGGCCCCUACAUUUAAUUAAACGUAGGAUUUUUAUACUCUUUUGGCAGAGAAGGCUCUAUAUUAAUAUUCACGUUUAACUGUGGUGUUAAUAAACAUAAAUAAGAAGCAUUGGAUAUACGUAAUUUGUGUUACGUUAUACUUAAAAGCCUCAGUAAAGCUGGCAUUGCAAUAUUGCAGUUUUGUAAAUUGAAAAAAUUUGACAUUUUUGAUUUGGAGGCAUGAAAUAUUUCAAACAAAUUUUCCACUUUCAAUUUUUAGGAAAAUCAUACUGGUUAUUUUCUCUCGAAACUAUUAAAUUUAACCUCAAGGAUAAGUUUGAUUAUUGGAAAUGCUACUGGGUACUGAAAUACAUAUUCUUAAUCCCAACGUUAUGCAUUGAGCAUUAAGGUUGAAAGGUCAUCUGGAAAUGCUUGUGAUUUUUAAUAUUUUUCAAACCUCACCACAUUAGAGCAAAUGUUAAUGUAGAGCCCUGGGAAAAGUGGGAAGGUGGUAUGUGUGUGGUAUGUAUGCGUAUACACUACACAUUGGAGAUAGUGAAAGUUUGGGUAUAACAGACCUGUCAGUAUGGCUAGAUUACUAAUUUUCAGGUAGCCAAGUGAAAAUCGUAUCGUGGUAAAAUCAGUGUAUUGAACUGUGGAUUCGAAACAAUUAUUUUGAGGUUCAUUUUCAGUCUUAGUGAACAAUAUUUUAUACAAACUACAUACAUGAGAAGUAUCCAUGUUUGUUUCCCAACUAAAGUUUGCUUUAAGUUGGUGAGAAAAGAUGAGUUUAUGCCUGUAUAUUGUAGGAGAUAAAAAGGGAACUGGAAGAGAGGCCAAAACACAAACCUGGGUUUUGUUUCUUCCUGUGUUUGAGACACCAUUCUAUCCAGAUAGCAUUUUCGUCUGAACAGUAACAAUUCACAUAUAGUACAACGUUUUUCACAAACCUGGUAUUGUGUUUCUAUGUGGUUUUAAUUCAAAGCAUAAAGAAAAAAAAAUGCAUUAAAUGAAUUCCAAGAUUUCACCUGGUUAAUUAACUUUCAUGUGCUUUUCUCUGUGACUGAAUCAUGGGGGAAUAGAUUUAAAUGUUUGAAUAGGAGAAUUUUGUCGUGAAAGUAUUCCACUGAAAUAUUUUAUAAUCUACUCAAUAAUUAUACAUUUUAAGACUCCAUAUUUGGAGUUGUUUUCUGUUGCACCACCAUUUCCCAAUAUACUGAAAUAUUUUAAGAGCAAAGCUGCUUGUUCUGAUAGGGGUAAUUGAAAUAAUUAUAAUUCAAAUAGGCUCUUACAUACUUGUAGCAGAGGUAAGAGGGGUUUUCUUAAGGGUGGCAUAAUGAUAUCUCUGUAGUUCUGUGACUCAAUACGAUUUUAAUAAUUACAUAACUUUCGAGUGUUUAUUACGUUCACUGGUAAAACUUGAUAAAUAAAAGGAAAUGUUGAAGUUACCUCUUUAUUGAGAUAAAAUAUACACUUGUGUUGGUUAGGAGAUUCUAAAAAAUUCAACAUGUACCCUAAAAAUUGUAUAAAUCAGGCAUGUCUUUUUUAAAAGGUGGUAUUUACCUGUUUGUAAUUCCAAAAUGAAACCUGUUUUAUCUCACUGUAACUAUGGAAAAGUCUUCUAAAACGAGGGAGGGGUUCAGUUCUAAAACUAUUGACUAUAAAGCAGAUUUUUGUAAGUAAACAUUUCCCCAGUUAUAUUUCUGCUUGCUGUCUCAUGGCUUGAAUAUUAGUGAAGGGUACUGCUUUUUUUUUAACCCUUAGUAUUUUGUCAUCUGAAUCAUUUUAAUAAAUAACCUUUUGUUUUUCUAGCAUAGAAACCAUUGAAGUUUUCUGUGUGGUAUUUAUUGGCAAAAUAAGCAGUUACUUUAGUGAUGUAUAUAUAGUGUUGUAAACAUGGUGAUUUCACAAUUUUGUAAUGUUGACUUUUCAGAACUAUUAAUAUCUUAGAUCUAGAUAUUCCCUAUUACGGAUUUAAUUAAAAAUAAUUACACAGGAUGUAGGGAAAACAGGACGUUGACCUCCCUAAUCUUCAACCUUUCCAAGUGUGUUCAUAUUCUUGACAUUUUUGUUGGAAAAUAAGUUUUAAAAGUAACAUUUUUUUAAAAACUAGAUUUCUUUAGUAAGGCUCAGAAGAUAAUUAAUUGUAUUUUAUUAGCAUUGUCUUUCUUCCCUCGGCUGUAUACAUUCUGCUUGCAUAAUUUGGCCAUAAAAGAAAGAGCUUCCCAUUUUACCAACUCUGGAAAAAUAAUAACUUAAAACUAAUAGUUUCAGAUUUUUUGAACCAUCUCUAAAUCUCUUCCAUUAGUAUAUAUCCUCAGGGGAAAAUAUAUUUCAAUAAGUAAGGUAUAGAAGUUAUAUUGAGCAGAAAUUGGAGACCUGAAGGAGAUCUUCACUGAAGCCAAUUUGAACCAUUUCUUUUUCAAGCAAAUUGGACAUUAUAAAUUAAGACUGUUUCAUGUUAGGUUCUUUAGGAGGCGUGUAAUCACCAGGUAUAUUGUGAGAAUAUGUUUGUGUAUAUGUUUAUUUUGAUGAAAUUAACUACAUAGAAGAUACAUGUGAGUAAACUUGUAAUGAUUGGUUAUUUGGACCCUACCCAUUAAUACUAAGAAGUGUAAAGUGGUGAGAUGGCACAGCUUCAGUAGCGUUCUGUGUAUUUGGUCAGGGUUUGUAUAAUGCUGUGUUUGUAAAAAGGGGAAGUCCUUUAUUGGAAUUCUUCAAGCCCUUUGGCAUUCUUAUGUGUCCGGGAUUUUUUAAAGAAUCUGUAUGCUUUCACCUUUGGUUAAUUUUUAGCAACUGACAAUGAAAUUCAUUGAUGCCCAUCGUUGAUAAAAAUGAAGAAUGUUAUGUCCUCCUCAGUGUACUGCACACAGGCUAAUAGUGAUUAUUUGGGAGAGAGACCAUUGUGUAGUUUUGCUAGACUUAAGAACUUUAAAUGUAAUGAAAGGUAAUAGCAUUUCUGCUCUUGUUUUGCAUUUAUUAUAAUACUUUCACCAAAUCAUGUUAUAAUGUAGCUCAUUCUCAAUAUUUUAUUUAUAAAUAGUCAGAGUGAAAAUAUUUGCAGCAUUAUUUCCCAGUCUCUACUCAUAAAACAACGCUGCUUAACUACCCAAGUGAUCCAACAGAAGAGUUAAUAAAGUUCUCAGCAGAAUUUCAGCAUUUGCUACUUACUGGUAGAGAAGAAAAACCCCACAGCCCUGCCAGUACAGGUUAGUUUAAUCUGUAAGUACCUGAUAUUCCUAUUUUUUUUUCCAAACAUAUCCACAUAACCCACACAAGGAAGAAAGCUGCAGUUGCUUAAAUGUGAGUAUGACUAAUAAUAGACCCAUUGGACACUUUCAAACACUCUACUUGGGCAAAUUAUUAGCUUUAGGUUUGCUAACCUCCGUUGUAAUAAAGGGUAAUACUCUUCCUUUAUUAUUUGGUUGUGGUUGAACCUAAAUAGAUAUAUUGCACAUAAAAGGAAAAGACAGUGAAAGUUUCUAUUAGCUAUAUGCUCAUUUUGGUAUGUCAUAUGGAAUGCAGGGCUUGGGUCCAGGGUCUUUUACUUAAGUCACUUCUGUGGUGGUAUUUUAUUUACCUUUCAACUUUUUACAGUAUGAAUCAACCCAAAAAGUUUCCUCACCUUUAGCAAUGAUAAGUGGUGGGUUUUUUAGCUCGUAAAAAGUUUUAGUAAUUUGGUGUAAAUAAGUACUAAUUUUGUUCAUUUUUUGUAAACUAGAACCUAUUCUGUUGGUGCACCACCAUGAUGGGUUUAUUUUACUUUGAACCAAAAAUAACAAACCUUACUUUUUAAAUAUUCAAAUGAAAGCUGACUACCCAUCAAGAAAUCUAGAUGGAUUCUCCAUGUUUCUUUUGAGGAGCAGAGAUGUAAUGGAUUGUAAAAGAUGUUCAAGUUUUUAUUAUUGUUUUCAUUGGUCUACCAUAAUUUAUUGUUGCCUUGAACCAUCAAUGAGAAAUAUCCUUUAACCUUUAAAUACUAUACUCUUAUGUUGAUAAAAAUUUAAAA